rnacentral:lncRNA from 1 species
CACACACACAUAUACACACACAUAUAUACACACAUCUGCGCACGCGCUGCUCAUUAGCUAAAUAACAUCCACAGAGCGAGAACGACCGACGUCCGGCCUCUCUACCUGCAAACACAACAACCAUGCCCGAACCAGUAAACACAAGUCACAACCAUUUCGAUUGCACGCGCGCGCUCACACGCGCGCACACGCGCACAUACUUCAACCCCUCCUGCUAAUGCAUAAAUAUGUCUGUGCAAAGCUCCGCCCGUUUAACCAUGUACGCUGUGUCUAACACGUGUUUAUCAAGGCAGCAAAGCAUUCGCGGUGUUUUCCUCGCACCAUCAUCUGUAGAGCAGCCUUUAACGACGGCCUGAAUCGGUGGAAAUCAGACCAAAUCGGGUUGCCAGCAACGACGGACAAUGCGCCGAAGUCGUUUGAAACGAAACCUCGAUUUUAGCAGUCAAACACAGACGUCGGCUUUUUCGCUCUUCUCCAACAAGUCGAUAUUGCUUGACCAGACGGACAGGGCCGCAUACAUUUACAAGAACCCUUACAACACCAUAGCCAACAACAACAACAACAGCAACAGCUACUACUACUACUACUACUACUACUACUACUACUACUACUACUACUGCUGCUGCUGCAAAAUCCUCCGGUUGUCUGUUGACAUAUUAUUAACACUUGCUAAUUUCAUCUUUCUAACAGCGUUGAAAUUAUAUUGCAACACAAAAAGAAACUUUUUGCAGCCGCAAAUGUGUAUAUAUUUUUCAGUUUGAUGGCGUUAUUUUCUUUUCUGCUAUUUUUCUUUUUUCAAAAAGACAGCAAACAUGUAAAAUAGAAAGAAGACAAGAGAAAGUGAUAGAGAGAGAGAGAGAGAGAUACAUAGAGAAAAAAAGAAAGAAAGAAAGAGAGAGAGCGAGAGAGAGAGAGAGAGAAAGGGUAAACAAUAACAGCUGCUACAAAGCAGAAAGCAAACAGCAAAA